CAGAACUUUAGAUAAGGUCUAAGUCCUGGGAGGGAAGAGGAGCUGGAUCUUUUCUAUUGGAUGCUUCCUAAAAUGCAACUAGCUGGCAGAAGACAGAGCACUUGGGUUGAAUGUUUCACAGAGCUAAAGGUGCACUAAUUCUGGAUGAGACUCCAGCUGGGAGGAGGAGAAAAGCAUAGAUCAGAAUGAUGGACAUGCCCCUCUCCAGGACGUGUCACCCUAGGGCAGGCUAGGAACUGAUUGCUGCGCUCACCUGUGACGCCCAGCUCCAGACAAUCGACUUGCCGCCUGCUACGCCCUCUGAGAUAGCCGACCACUACCUGCUGUGUCCAUCAAGCACUGGGCUGACAGGGCAAUCUUGUGACUAUUGUGGGAGGGACAAUUCAAUCACAUGUGAAACACCCUGUUUGGAGGUGUAUAACCACUAUGUGCACCCCACUUCUUUGGUGCCCUUUCUUCCUUCGGGAAGAAAGGCCCCGGGCCAUGGUUCCUCAUAAAGCUUUGUUUAAUUUUCUCUUGCUAUUCUGUCUCAUGUGAAUUUAAUUCGUUCUCCGGCCAGAUGAACCCCCAUUUGGGGAGAGGAAAUGUCUUCCUCCCCUACAAAACUAUGUGGGAAAACAGAGGUGCUGGUUGUGGAGGUGGCUUUCUUGCAAUUUACCCAUCUGUAGCUUGUGACAUGCUGAAGAGAGUACGAGACGAGGAAGGGACUUUGAGGGGGGCGAGCUGGGUGGUCAUUGAACUCAUCUGUAAAAAGGAAAUAAUACUGUCUCUCUUGCAGUGUUGUGAAAACUAGAAGUGGCAGAUGUCGAUGGAAAGAAUUGAUAGAGCCAGGCACUGUGAAAUGUAAAAGUAAUACAUUUCAUUAUGACAGCUACCAUUAACCAUUCUCAUUUUUCAAUUCUUCUUAAACAAACAAUGCACUGCCCCCCCCCGAAUCCUACAUCUUUCUAACAAAAUCUUAUUGAGUUAAUGUAUGUAACAGAUAAGAGCUAAAGAGUGGGGACCCUAGACUGCCC
rnacentral:lncRNA from 1 species